AAGACUUCCAGAUAUCAUACCAUCUAUCAAAUGAGACUGUGGUGACAGAGAAAGGCACUGAUCUGUACCAGUGUUACUAUCAGGGAUCUGUGCGAAGAUAUCCUGGAUCCCAGGUCUCUGCAAGCACCUGCUCAGGACUCAGGGCGAUGAAAGUGGCCGACAUGUUGUAUACAGAACUGAAGAUUUCUCUCGAGUGUCCACUAACUGUGGA